GACGAACGCUGGCGGCGUGCUUAACACAUGCAAGUCGAACGGAAAGGCCCCUUUGGGGGUACUCGAGUGGCGAACGGGUGAGUAACACGUGAGUAACCUGCCCUUGACUUCGGGAUAACUUCAGGAAACUGGGGCUAAUACCGGAUAGGAAUCCUUGCUGCAUGGUGGGGGUUGGAAAGCUUCGGCGGUUUUGGAUGGACUCGCGGCUUAUCAGCUUGUUGGUGGGGUAGUGGCUUACCAAGGCUUUGACGGGUAGCCGGCCUGAGAGGGCGACCGGCCACAUUGGGACUGGGAUACGGCCCAGACUCCUACGGGGGGCAGCAGUGGGGAAUAUUGCACAAUGGGCGGGAGCCUGAUGCAGCAACGCCGCGUGCGGGAUGACGGCCUUCGGGUUGUAAACCGCUUUCAGCAGGGGCGAAGCUUGUGGUGACGGUACCUGCAGAAGAAGCACCGGCUAACUACGUG
rnacentral:rRNA from 1 species